rnacentral:ncRNA from 1 species
UGAAUCUCGAAGAAGGAACAAGUAAGCAGACAGGCUCAUUUAAAGAGAGAAUUCCCCCAGAGCUGAAAGGAAUUCACUGAAGCAUCUGCCGAAAGCUGGUCCGGAGUGCAGUUAAAAGCUGCCGUCUGCUGCGUUAAAGCGACUUUAGAGUGAUGGGUUGUCAAUCCAUAACCAGGGUGGUACCGCGAGUAUAGUCUCGUCCCUGUG